ACUUUUAUAAGGGUGGAAGUCUACCCGGUGGUUUUAGGUACCACAAAUUUUGGUGCAACUCCAAGUAAAAGUA
rnacentral:tRNA from 1 species